AAGUAGCUUCUUUGAUUAAUUUUCAAUUAGUGUUGUAAGAAUGAUGAAAUUUUGUGUUGUGUAAUUAGAGUUGUGUAAAAUCAAGAGCCCAAGUAUUUGAUUAAUACGGUGAAAGUGUUCCUGCAUCGUCGAUGGUAACACCAAAAUAAGGAGCAUGAAGAACAAGAAGAGCGUCGAAGAAACAGGAAGGGCUUCUCAAACUUCUUUGAAAGAUUUUUCAACAUCUUUAAAGCGCAGAAGAUACGAAUGAGAAGUGUAUCGUUAGAACGGCGUUUCAUAGAGGUACUCUACCUCGCACAGAUGUCAACGAUCCGCCACUUUCCACUUUAAAAGACACCUCCUCGUGACAAGGAUGGAACUUUUAUCACGAAUGAAACAGAUGCCACAGGGGAGAAAUGAAAGCACCCUCUUAUUAUUAUAUACCGCGUCGUCAUUUUGCAACUUGAGACGCAAUCGUUGACGUGAAAUUUUAUCAAUUUGCGGUUAUUGAUUGUAGAAGCGUUCGCGCUACGAGUAUUUCCACUUUUACCUCUUUCAUUUUCUUUUUUUCCCCUCGCCUCCUUUUACUUGGAACGACCACUAGAACGGCUGGGUUUUAAAAGUCUCUAUAACCGUGUAACAACCAUCGGUCUUCCUUUUUUUUUUAAAGGCUACAGCAUCACGGGCGAAUGUUUAACAUAAACUCUCCCGACUUUCACUGGCAGUCCACUAAACGUUUCUUUCGUUACGUCGCUUCGCUUUUGCCAGUCUAAAUUAUUUCCCAGAGAUACCAUGAUGCAGCGUGUAAUUGAUUAGGAAUUAAACUGUUCCACAUUCUCCUUUAAUAAUACCCGUUACAUACGCGUAACGGCAACGUCAUAAUUGUAGCUCUACUGUAACUGUUUAUCGUUAUUGGUAUCACGAUAAUAAAAUAAUUUGAACAAUAGCGCGCGGCACGCUCGGUAACAUGAAUAUGGAAAUUCCUUUCAGACUUCUCUCGCGGCACGGAAUUACGUUCGUUUUAAUCACGUUGAUUAUGUUUUAUUAGCAUCCGAAUGAAAUUCAUCAAAAAAUUUACAUAACAGAAGUCUAUGGAGCGCGGCAAUUUGAAACGAUUUUCGUUAAUUACUUAAUUAUCAUUGUAACUCGUCUGAUAUGCCGAUAAUACGUGAAAAUUAGUUUCCCUCGUUUUCCACGUCGCCGUCCAAUAAAGUCCAUUAAAUAUCCGACCGCUUAAUCCUGGAUCGCUUCUAAUCGACCCCGGGAAAGACGUCGGCGUCGCGACGAAUAACCCGCAUGCCAGUAUUCUAACGCGACGAUUCUUACCGUCCGUUCGGCCGUGAAAUAGUGACUGUUUCCAUUCCGAGUGUCCGCAAGCAGUCUUUCAAUAUUCUAAACAUAUAUCUCCCGCAUGAAAACGUUGGAUUCGAAAGAACGCUCGAGAAUCGAUGACACUUUCAAAUUCUCCGAUAGCGGUAUAAUAUCGUAACGAAAGACAUCGUCGUAAGUCAAGAAUAGCCACUGUUUUAACAAUGUCUGGCUCGGAGUCACUUUCGCGCACCUCUCGCGUGGAAUUUCAUCCGUUUUUCUUCAUCCCUCGCUUCAUCUUCCGCCUUUAUUCCAUUCCAACGUGGACACACGUCCACGGUGUCUCGUCCUAUACGCGUACGGUGACACCGAUUACGUCAACGAAACGGACACUAACGUUUCUAAUGACGGUAACCGAGGUAACAGCGACGCGAUGGUAUAAGGAUCACAAGCCGAGACGCGGGCAGCGAGAGACCGAUGGAUGAAGAUGUGUAGCUGAAAGCCCAGGGGUCGUCCUCGCUCACGUUUUAUUGCUACACGUGUGUUACCUCUGUAUUUUCCCAACGCGACGCGCAACCUAUCCCCGUAUCGCUACUUAUCUCAUCUUAUUGUCCUGUUUUUUCUCCCCCCUCUCUCCCGCAUUUAUGUACACCUUGUAACAUAUCGACGUAUGAACGAUGCUCUCGCGACUAUUGCUCGGCUAUUUCGAAAUUAUUGCUCACGGAUACGAGGUACGAGAAAUGGAAUUAAGUUCUUGCGAGUUUUGAAGAGCGCAUGAGAUUGAAAUGGAGAGAACGAGAAACGCAAAUAUUUGUUAUAAGAAUACGGACGGUCAAUAACUCAUACUGAUUAGUUACAGCCAAAAUUGUACGAUCGAACAAAUUUCCGAAGUGCAGAGCUAUACUAAUUAAAUCAUAGGGUUUCAACUUGAGAGUCGUUCCAUUUAAUUCGAAAUUAUUGGAGCUCAAUAUUAUAUCCGCAUUGCUCGGUCUUCCGAUCUAACUGUACGAAAUUAUUUGGAACCGAACGGGCAGCGAUUCGGCAGACGUUAUGACGCGAGAUUAAAAGAUAAAAUUAGUUAGGGAGAUCGUAGCCGGAGUAUGUAUUAGACUGGCAGAUUCGUGAUAGAGGCGUUCGCUCUGAUGUAUUUGCGACGUAAACAAUAAUUACCGGGUGCAAUUAAGAGGAUCCUCGCUGCAGGGCGCGGCGAUACGGUCGGUGAUAGUCUUGGAACUUCUGCUCUAUGUAUAUCCGACGUAUAGCGACGAGGCAUCCGUACGGAACGACUUGGUAACGUGUGUCGUCGGCGCGAUGAAGAGAUUUCGAGUUGGCUACGCUCAAUCUUGUUAUUCUGUGUGUUAGAGUCUUCCGUAAAAUUUGAGUUAGCUUCGUUACUAGGCGACCGAAUCUUCCUCUGUCUGCUCACCUGUCUGUCUGUCUGUCGGGACUUUCUGAGUCUGUGAGUGUGAGUCUGAGUGAUGGUACCAAUGAGACGUUAAUACGGCAUUGGAUCAAUUAGGAACGAGUCCGAUUAUAAAAUAAUCAGAUCUGCGAGGAGUUACAUCUGCACUUUAGCAACUCUAAGAGGGAACGUUGUCUGACACACCUUUAUUAAGAAUGAUAUUUAUACUUGAAAAUGUCUAAAUUUAGUGUGUAAUCUCUUGCAGUAAUUACCUACAGCAUUUAAUAUAAAAUCAGGUACGAAAACUGAGAGCUUACGUUCAGUACGUAGGACAUGACUGCUUGUGACAAAGAAUUAAAAGCGCAUAUAGAACUAAUUAAAAAGUGAUUACUGUAUUAUCAUCUGGUUUCCGAACCGGUCGAAAGGCUUUAGUAGAAUAACUUUCACGGAAAGGAAGAGAACCUCUAGGUUUUGCCCGUGCAAACAGUCGUUAGGGAUGCAACCGUUCCCUAGAUUCCGGAAAGCAAGAAACUUGGUCGUACUAAUGCUAUGCUAAUGACUUGAGACGAAGAAAAAAAGGAAGGAAUGACUAGAAGAAUAGUGGUUAAGUCAAAAUGUCUGAUUUCCAAUAUCAAUAGCCUUCACGUACCUCUCUGAUCACAAUUAAUAAAAAGAAGAUGGGAAUUUAAACGAGCAGACGAUGUAAAAAUCUACGUAGUGGCUCAUUACGUUAUAUAAACAAGUUUCAUCUGUAAAAUAUUCUUGGCGAUAAUAUGUGCUUGAACAGCGAUUUGCAUAAAUUUUAUUAGUCGGGAAGUUAACGGAUCGAAAGUUUUUUACAGUAUGGUAUGAUAGCUUCAAAGCUGAAAAUUCUGUUCGCGCUUUCCUUUUCAAUAUUAUUUCCUAUACCUUGGCCGUUAAAAAAAAAAGCGUAAAAAAGAUGGAAGGUUGAGGAUUUUGUCGGACGCGCCACGGGUGAAAUCGAGCUGGAUCGAUCGGAAGUCACCAUCCAGAGAAUUAUUGCUCGAUUAACCGUUAAUGAUUUCGGUGCUUCACGCAAGGUCCCUGAAUGGGGACUUCACUCCUGAACUUUAACUACGUUAGCUGUGCCGCGUCGUCGUCCCUUAAACUGGCAAAAGGCGCAUCGGCCGGAAAGGAAUUCGUGGCAACGGCGAUUUUUCCCCCUCCGUUAUAUGAAAAUCGUUCGACCGGACCAGGAACCGCGAGACCGAGGAAAAUAUGAUGCAUUGUACCUACAAAUGUACUGCACGCAAGCCAGUAACGCGUACCGUGUAAGAAUGUCGACGUACAUUCCUGUCCAUAAGCUACGGUUAAUAAUAGAUUUCCCACAAAUCUUAUAAAUGAAAUUAAAGAAGAUGAACCAAAUAAUUGUAUAGAAUUCAUGUCCUUUCCAAUAGAAAAAAAAUUGUCCUGUAAUUGUUUUAA